rnacentral:lncRNA from 1 species
UCAAUCUCUUCACAAAAUCACACUUCAGCCAUACUCUCCCAUGAAUGAUUAUAUUAUGUACUCUCGCAUGAAUGAUUAUAUUAUGUCGAACCUCUAUAAGCUUGUAAGAAAUCUGCAGGAAGAUUACACAUCAUUUAUUGUCAUAUUAAAUUGAUAUAUUCUAUUUAUAAAAGUCUAUAAUUUUAGCAAACCUCCCGUGAAUGAUUAUAUUAUGUCGAACCUCUACAAACCUUCCAUGAAUGAUCAUAUUAUGCAC